CUCAGAAUCAACGGGGUGCUCCCGUCGGAUCAAGGAUCUUCGCGGUGCGGCCACGCCAUGAGGAACAAAUGACCUAAUUCAGCAAACUCCUAUCGACUAAGCACCUAUUGACUUUUCCUAUCCUACUCAGACAGAACCAAUCAUCCCAGAGUUGAUCCUGUGGAAUGCACUGUUUGUGUUCGAGACUAACUGACUGAGUUCGUAAUCCAUCCCAGCUGGGAUCAGAGGAAGAAUUCACUGCUUGGAAGAACUCUCAUUGACUUUGCUUUCCUGGACUGAGCGAGAGAGAGACUUGGACAAGACGCCCCUUUUCCCGGCUCCAUCCCGGCUUCAUCUAUCCUAACGGAAUCCAACUGGGCAGGCAACAUCGACAUACAAAAAAUGGACACAAUUCAAUGGAUAUCAAUCAACAAAGAGAUGAGGAGGCAUACAAAUCUAUUCUUAUUGGUAUGUUAUGCAGAUCCCAUUUACCAUCCUCCUCCCUUACCUCUUCAAUGAAAAUCCCAU